UACGGAAGGCAGCAGUGGGGAAUAUUGCACAAUGGGCGCAAGCCUGAUGCAGCCAUGCCGCGUGUAUGAAGAAGGCCUUCGGGUUGUAAAGUACUUUCAGCGGGGAGGAAGGCGGUGAAGUUAAUAGCUUCACCGAUUGACGUUACCCGCAGAAGAAGCACCGGCUAACUCCGUGCCAGCAGCCGCGGUAAUACGGAGGGUGCAAGCGUUAAUCGGAAUUACUGGGCGUAAAGCGCACGCAGGCGGUCUGUCAAGUCGGAUGUGAAAUCCCCGGGCUUAACCUGGGAACUGCAUUCGAAACUGGCAGGCUAGAGUCUUGUAGAGGGGGUAGAAUUCCAGGUGUAGCGGUGAAAUGCGUAGAGAUCUGGAGGAAUACCGGUGGCGAAGGCGGCCCCUGGGACAAAGACUGACGCUCAGGUGCGAAAGCGUGGGGAGCAAACAGGGAUUAGAUACC
rnacentral:rRNA from 1 species